CCAAGACCAGGCACCCAGAGAUCUCACAUUCAGCCCCUCCCACGAAGAAGCUCCAGGAUGAGAGCUGACCUGUUAGGGAGAUAAUAUCAAAGUCCAUGUGACACCCUCCAAGGGAGACUUUCCCUCUGUGUCUUAAGUGGUAGAAGAGAAAACAGUCAUCAAUCAGAAGGUGGGUGAGAUUUAGGAGCCUCCAGUGGGUCCUCCUGAUGCUUCUGACACUGGACCUAUGUGGACCGAUGUGCACAGAUGAGGUUAUGCAGUCCUGCACCUCCAGACCUGGUGAUGGAGAACAAGUAGGAAGUGUUCCCUGUGAACCCAUGAGACUUCAUCCCUGCGUUGGUCUGGCUGGCUUUCCCUGUGAGAAUCAGGUUCCUCCUGAAGAGCUGAAGCUCCAUUCCAGCUCUAGACUUCUCCUUGCUUUCAGACUUCAAGAUGAGAAGCAUUUUUCCAGUCCACAAGUGUUAGAGGACGCUGCCAAUGAUGUGUGUUUUGCCCAGGCUGGACUCAGCUUCGUCUUGGUAAAGGUUAAGUUUUCUUCAAUAUAAGAGGAAUCUAGAGAAACUAAGACCAUUAAGCAAAUUUUUAGAAGUAGAUGAGAAGGAAAGUUGGAAAACAAAGUACCCUUGCUUACAGAGAAACUAGGAGAUCACCUUAAUUAAGAAAGCACCUUAAUUUGGG
ensembl:lincRNA